rnacentral:rRNA from 1 species
GACUGUAGGCUGCAACUCGCCUACACGAAGUCGGAAUUGCUAGUAAUCGCAGAUCAGCAUGCUGCGGUGAAUACGUUCCCGGGCCUUGUACACACCGCCCGUCACACCAUGGGAGUCGGUAACACCCGAAGUCGGUAGCCUAACCGUAAGGAGGGCGCCGCCGAAGGUGGGAUUGAUGACUGGGGUGAAGUCGUAACAAGGUAGC